CUUUUCUCCUUUUCCGAACAGUUUUUCCAGUUCCUUAGUAUUACUUACAAAGAACCUACUCUGUCAUUUCAUAACCUUAGCCGAGCCGAGGCUAAGUGACUUCGUAACCUUAACGUACUUUUUUCAUACUUUUCCCCAUCAGGUCUAACGGGCUUUCGCCCCUUCGCCUAUAGGCGGCUUCGCUACCGCUCAUGACUUGGUAUAGAAAUCUCUCCGUGUAGUGUAGUGGUCGGCCUUCCCAUCUCCAUGCCUCCCUUCAUUUGCUUGCCUCCUUCCAGCCCAGAAUGCCUACUGACGUUAAGCUAACCGCCAGAAGCUCACCCUUCGGGUGUCGCUUCUGGCGCAGGAGGCCAAGCAUUCUGCCAGACGCCCCGGGAGCCCCGUUU
rnacentral:lncRNA from 1 species